UCCGGCGGUACAGGAUGGACCCGCGUCUGAUUAGCUAGUUGGUGAGGUAAUGGCUCACCAAGGCGACGAUCAGUAGCCGACCUGAGAGGGUGAUCGGCCACAUUGGAACUGAGACACGGUCCAAACUCCUACGGGAGGCAGCAGUGGGGAAUAUUGCACAAUGGGCGAAAGCCUGAUGCAGCAACGCCGCGUGAGCGAUGAAGGCCUUCGGGUCGUAAAGCUCUGUCCUCAAGGAAGAUAAUGACGGUACUUGAGGAGGAAGCCCCGGCUAACUACGUGCCAGCAGCCGCGGUAAUACGUAGGGGGCUAGCGUUAUCCGGAUUUACUGGGCGUAAAGGGUGCGUAGGCGGUCUUUUAAGUCAGGAGUGAAAGGCUACGGCUCAACCGUAGUAAGCUCUUGAAACUGGAGGACUUGAGUGCAGGAGAGGAGAGUGGAAUUCCUAGUGUAGCGGUGAAAUGCGUAGAUAUUAGGAGGAACACCAGUAGCGAAGGC
rnacentral:rRNA from 1 species